AAAAGACAAGUUUCUGGGACAACAACACUGGACUCUUUACAAUCACAGGACUGCAGAGGGACGACUCUGGAAUUUAUACUGUAGACUCUAAAAAAGGAAGAGUUUUUACUACAUCAUAUAAACUCACAGUGUAUGAGUCUGUCCCAGCUCCUGCAGUGAACAGUGUGAGUGUGAGUGCUGAGAGCUGCACCCUGCUGUGUUCUGUGGAGAAAGCUGGAGAGCUGCUGACACUGUCGUGGUACAAAGACGAGGAGAUAGUGAUCCAGAACAGCUCCGCUCUCUCUCUGCUCUCACUGUACACAAGCAGGAUUUCAGCUCCUCGUACAGAUGUGUGGCUGCAAACCCUGCUGAACAAAAGACUGUUACAGUCGAUGUUAAGACAUCCUGCAGUGAACAAACCAGCACAGACAACAGAAGUGACAGUAACAUAAAGUUCUGGUUGUUCCGGAUUCCCAUGGUUGUGUUUGGGACUGCUGUCAUUGUUUGCAUCAUUUUGACAGCUGUGAAGAAAAAGAGACAGGACAGACAGAGACCGAGAGAGACAUCAGCUCCACAGUGACGUGCCACCGUCAGAGUGAAGCUGUUUGGUCCACUUCCACAUACUGUGUGGUCGGUCAAACCAAUCAUCUUCCAGGAGACACAGAGUGAAGUUAAACUGGUCAAAAAUUCCUCUGAUAUUUCUUCAUACAGUCUGAGCUGGAAAAUAACCCACAGUAUGUUUUUAGUCUGUCUGUAUGUUGCUUUGUGUCUGCUCACUGUGUAAAUCUGUAGUGUACUUUUGCUACAUCUGCAUUGUUUGGUGUGUUUUACAGCUUGUUAUGGAGAUUUUUAUUUUUGGCUCCAAAUAAAAGAAGACAUCUGUAAAUGCAGCUUAAUCAUUUAUUUGUCAUGUUGAUGUCUAAACAUCACUGAUCAUCAAAAAAGUGAACAAUUCUCACGGCAAAGAUGAAUUUCUGAUUAUCUUAAAAAUGAAUUUUGGUCUGAAUAAAAACAUGUUACAGUGUUAGGAAGCUGUGUUAAUGGCUUCCAGUUGAUCCACAGCACGUUACUGAUGGUGUAGGUCACCUGUCAGUGCAACACCUUUGUGAUACAAAUACAGCAGUCU